UACGGGGGGGGUAAGCGUUGUUCGGAAUUACUGGGCGUAAAGGGCUCGUAGGCGGCCAACUAAGUCGGACGUGAAAUCCCUCAGCUUAGCUGGGGAACUGCGUCCGAUACUGGAUGGCUUGGAUUUGGGAGAGGGAUGCGGAAUUCCAGGUGUAGCGGUGAAAUGCGUAGAUAUCUGGAGGAACACCGGUGGCGAAGGCGGCAUCCUGGACCAACAUUGACGCUGAGGAGCGAAAGCUAGGGGAGCAAACGGG
rnacentral:rRNA from 1 species